AGUGAACGCUGGCGGCAGGCCUAAUACAUGCAAGUCGAACGGCAGCACAGCAGAGCUUGCUCUGUGGGUGGCGAGUGGCGGACGGGUGAGGAAUACAUGGGAAUCUGCCCAGUCGUGGGGGAUAACGUAUGGAAACGUACGCUAAUACCGCAUGCGCCCUACGGGGGAAAGUCGGGGACCGCAAGGCCUGACGCGAUUGGAUGAGCCCAUGUUCGAUUAGCUAGUUGGCGGGGUAAAGGCCCACCAAGGCGACGAUCGAUAGCUGGUCUGAGAGGAUGAUCAGCCACACUGGAACUGAGACACGGUCCAGACUCCUACGGGAGGCAGCAGUAGGGAAUAUUGGACAAUGGGGGCAACCCUGAUCCAGCCAUGCCGCGUGAGUGAAGAAGGCCCUCGGGUUGUAAAGCUCUUUUGUCCGGAAAGAAAAGCAAUCGGUUAAUACCCGGUUGUUCUGACGGUACCGGAAGAAUAAGCACCGGCUAACUCCGUGCC
rnacentral:rRNA from 1 species